rnacentral:rRNA from 1 species
CCUACGGGGGGCUGCAGUGGGGAAUAUUGCACAAUGGGCGAAAGCCUGAUGCAGCAACGCCGCGUGAGCGAUGAAGGCCUUCGGAUCGUAAACUUCUAUCAGCAGGGAAGAAGGAAGUGACAGUACCUGAAUAAGAAGCCCCGGCUAACUACGUGCCAGCAGCCGCGGUAAUACGUAGGGGGCAAGCGUUAUACGGGAUCACUGGGUGUAAAGGGUGCGUAGGCGGUAGGGCAAAUCAGAUGUGAAAGCCCGGAUCUCAACUUCGGGACUGCAUUUUAAACUGUCGUACUAGAGUGCAUGGGAGGAAAGCGGAAUUCCUAGUGUAGCGGUGGAAUGCGUAGAUAUUAGGAAGAACACCAGUGGCGAAGGCGGCUUUCUGGACUGUAACUGACGCUGAGGCACGAAAGCGUGGGGAGCGAACAGGAUUAGAUACCCUUGUAGUC